AGGGUGUACAAAGUGUGGAUAAAGAGUGUACAAAGAGUGUACACCCAUUCUACCUCUUUUUAAAAAAAUGUAGAAAGGCUGCAGAAGGGUGCACAAAUGGUAUAUCAAGGGGUUAGAAAGGAUGUAGAAAGGGUGUAGAAAGACUCUUGAAAAGGUUUAGUAAGGGUCUAAGAAGAUGAAGAAAGAUGUAGAAAUCGUGUACAAUGUGUGUAUAAAAAGACUGCAAAAGAUUUACAAAGCUUGUAUAAAAGGGUGUAUAAAAUGAGUACAAAGGGUUUACAAAUGUUGUAUAAAGGGUGUAUAAAGGGUGUAGAAAAGGUGUAUAAAGGGUGUACAAAGGGUGUAGACCCAUUCUAUCUCUUUUUAAAAAAGAUGUAGAAAGGCUGCAGAAGGGUGCACAAAUGGUAUAUAAAGGGGUUAGGAAGAAUGUAGAAAAGGUGUAGAAAGGUUGUUGAAAAGGUUUAGUAAGGGUGUAAGAAGAUGAAGAAAGAUAUACAAAUCAUGUACAAAGUGUGUAUAAAGUUAGUACAAAGGGUUUACAAAUUUUGUAUAAAAGGUUUGUAAAGGGUG
rnacentral:lncRNA from 1 species